rnacentral:lncRNA from 1 species
ACAUGCACAACAGUUUCAGCACGAUGGCUCUCACCUCCCUCCUCCUCCUCCUCCUCUCUUCUCUCCAUGUCAGUAAUUUGUCAAGCUUUCACUCUCCAUGCGUACCCAACUGCUCAUCUCUCUCUCUGUGUUUUCAUGGAAAGACAGGGCUAUAUAUUUAAUUUGAUAUCUCGUGCUUAAUUAGUAUAUACUUUUUACCUAAGAAUUGCUGAAAAAAUUUUGCGGCCAUAAUACUCCGUUAGCAAUUACUUCUUAUCCAUUAUUUUUUGACUCAAUCUCUCUAUACUAGUUUACAAUGCAUAGGUUAUCGGACCAAAUGGGGAGCCCAGGCUUCAUAAGAACUAUUCAAUAUAAUUUACGCAUGCAAGAAACUAAAUAUGUUAGUUUGCAUCAAAAUCCAACCUCAUAAUAUCAUAUAUAUCUUCAUAUCCAAAAAAAAUAUUAUAUAUAUAUUUCGUUUGCGUUAUCUUAACGUGUGUCAGUAGAUCAAUCGUGUUUAUGUGUUCUUUAAGCUAACAAAGAAAUGUGAAAGGAACGUAGAUAAUCAAGUGAACAUAUAAUGCUCUGGUAAUAUGAAGGCACGUAAGUUGCAAAAGUCAUUUUAAAUGAUUGAGCAUGACGUAACUACUUUUAGACACGAGCAUCAGAUAACAUACAUUAAUGAUUGUUAGGAAUAUAUGUUCAUUGUAAAGAUAAUUCCAAUCAUGCUAUUAUGCGGUUCUAAUUUCAUGUCACGUGACUUGUACUUUUUUGCAUGUUCAUUACAAUUUUCCGUAUGUCUAUUUUACUUCCAUAAUUAUGUCAUUGCACAGUUAUUUAAGUCCAUGACGUUCAUUCUAAUCGUGAUUAUAUAAACUUCUAGCUCACAGUCACUCUUUGAUUUUCUUUUGUGGAUUGUCCUGCGAUAGGUCCUCAGCAUUGUCGCUAGGGCCACUCCCGAGGCCGACUUCCUCGCCCGCGAGGCUAACUCGAUCUCUCCCAAAGCAUACCUUGUCCAUUACUGGAACAAGCAAAUCACCAACAACCUUCCCAAGCCACCAAUCCUCUUCUCCAAAGCGUCACCUCUGACGGCCGCGUCAGCGACCAUCUUCGCCGAACUCGUUGCCAAAGGCGCCAUCUCUGACCACCUCCUAUCGUUCUGCGAGGAGGCGCAAUUGCUCUGCUUCAUGAACUCAUCAUCUGAUACAAAUCCGCACAAAGCAUACGUAUACGGCCUCUCCCCCACCGAUACAAUUGUGGCAACUGAUGACAAGAAAGUAAAUGGGGGCGUGGAGCAGGGCUUGUUCUUUCGAGAGUCGAUGCUGAAGAGCGGGAAUGUGAUGCCAAUGCCCGACAUGCGGGAUAACUUGCCCAAAAGGUCAUUUUUGCCUCGCUGCAUUUCCUCCGAACUGCCGUUUUCAACCUCGAAGCUCGCUGAGCUGAAGCAAAUCUUCCGUGCCAUUGAAAAUUCCGCUAUGGGGAAGAUCAUGGCGCAAACGCUAGGCGAGUGCGAGGGUGCAGGAGUCCAAGACGAAAGCAAGAGGUGUGUGGCCUCCAUCGAGGAUAUGAUCGACUUCACCACCUCGGUUUUGGGUCAUGACGUCAUGGUCCGAUCCACGGAGAGUGCCAGAGGGUCGAAGCAGGAGGUCUUGAUCGGGGUGGUCAAGAGGAUCGAGGGCAGCGAAGUGAGCAAGCCCGUGGCCUGUCACCAGAGUCUAUUUCCUUACAUUGUCUAUUACUGUCAUACAUUUCCAAACGUCCGAGUUUACGAAGCAGACAUACUAGAUCCCAAAUCCAAGGCUAAGAUCAAUCACGGUGUCGCCAUUUGUCAUAUGAACACAUCAACUUGGAGCCCUACCCACGAGUCAUUUCUGUUGCUUGGAUCGGGUCCUGGCCAGAUCGAGGUCUGCCAUUGGAUAUAUGAGAAUAGCCUGAUAUGGACAAUUGCCAAGUCAUAAUGGAAGAACGAAGUGUGGUCAAGAUGGAAUAAACAUGGGUUCGGCCUGGUGAUCAAGAUAGAACUUGGUCUUUAGCUACCUCCAACCGAAAAUCNNNNNNNNNNNNNNNNNNNNNNNNNNNNNNNNNNNNNNNNNNNNNNNNNNNNNNNNNNNNNNNNNNNNNNNNNNNNNNNNNNNNNNNNNNNNNNNNNNNNUUUUUUUUUUUUUUUUUUUUUUUUUUUUUGUGAUUUGAGUACAUGUUCAAUUCUUUUGCAUUCUCCUGUCCUUUGUUACUAUCUUCGAGAAUUUUCUUCAAAUUUCGACGAGGACCAAUAACUAUUUUCACAGUACUAUUGUUAUAUAAACGAGAGACAGAUAAGAAUGCAGUUGUUUUUUGAUAAAAGAAAAAAACGAAAAGCUGCAAAAAUAGUUCAAGUGGCCCAGUGGUUGGGAGUCCCAACGUGAUCGUUUUUAUACGAGAAGAACAAGAGCUGCCCGGUUCAAUCUUGAAGUGGCACUUCCCACUUUUUCUCCCUCUGAAUUUUGCUUUUCAACUUUUCUGCAUUUAUCUUUUGUUUGCACUUUCUCGGUUACAUAAACUGCAUAUCAUCAGAUCAUUGCUUUCUUUUUUUUCUUUUCUUUAUUUUGCUUUUUUUAACCAUUUGUCAUUGGAAAAAGAUAAUUCAAUAAGAACCCACAAUACGCGAUUAGACUUCUAAAAUCCUAAAAACUUCACAUGAAUGAUUCUCAUAUGAUAAAAAUGUAAAAACUAAAUUUAUUUUUGUUUCGCUGGAAUUGCUCUCUUAAUUAAAUAUCUUUCACCGAAAGUUAUUCUUUGGUUUUAUUAAAGAGGACAAGGGUUAUGUGCCAACUCCAGACAAUGGAUAUCUUAUGCAAUAAGGAAUUGAACUUCUUUGGUCCUGUCGCGACCUACCCUCGGGGGGAGGGAACAGGUUUAGGGGUAUUGCCUAAAAGACGGGCCUAAGGCCCAUGAUUAGGCGCGAGCUCUCCCAAGCCUAUACCCCGCAUGACGUUGGGAUAUUCUUAAGAAAUUUUGCAUAAAAGGAGUCGCCACUAGCCUAUUGGGGUCGGCUAGAAACCAAGUGAGGCAUGGGAGUGUACCUCACUUCCUACGCAACCAGAGAAUUUAGGUUCGGGGACUUGAUUACACUAAUUAACCAAUUAGUGCCCUUUCGGUACCUAAUCUUGUUCAUUUUAACAAAAUGAUUUUUGGCAGGCAAUUUGGAUUGAUUUCAUAUUUAUCCACUAACAUGUGAGGUGAUCAUGCAGGCGCGCAAUCAUUAAAGUAAUAAUCAUAACUACCAAGAUCCUAAUUACAAUAAGAUUAAACACAUGCAAUCAAACAUAAUUAAAUAUGCAAAUUAAACAUACGACAUAAUCAAUAUGCAAGCAAAUAGAUGUCUAAUUACACUAAGAAAGCAAGAUAUAGCAAUUCCUAACCAAAUCACAUCAUUUUUGGAUUUUCGAAAUUUUUUAUUUUUGAUUUUUUUUUAAAAAAAAUUAUUUUUAAACAAAAUUAAUUUUUUUUUAAAAAAAAAUUGAAACUAUUUUCAAUAUUUAAUAUUUUUUUUGGAUUUUCGAAAUUUUUUAAUAUUUUUAAUUUCUUUUUAAAUAAUAAAAUAAACUUAAAAAUAAAAUUCGGGGCCGGACCGGGUCGGGUCCAGUCUGACCCGACUUGGGUUCAGCCCGUUCAAUGUGGGUCGGGUCCGGUCGUAGACCGGACCAGAUUUUGGCCUCGUCGGCGGCAACGGGCCCGAGUGGGCCCAAAAUUCUUUUUUUUUUUUUAAUACUUUAGUCAAGGCCCAAAGAAAAUUAAAAGACCCACCUAUUUCCUAAGCCCGCGAGAGCCCAACCCAAUUUACCUGAAUCUGAAGCCCGGCCCGAAGACAGACCCAAGGCUGACCCACUUCGAAGACCAAACCCUACCCAGUUUGGAGGGUCGCUUGACCCGGUUCUGACCCAAUUUGAGCCUCCUUCUCCAAGGCUUCUUGGCGGCACUGACACCGGGCAGCGAUGGCGGCGACGGCGGCGGCGCAGCGGGUGGCGGCGGCACAGGCAGCAACGGCGCGGUGCUGGUGCCGCAACGGGAUCGAAGGAGUGGCGUCAGCGGCAGUGGGCAGCGGCGGCGUCGUGGCUUCGGGCAGAGGAGCGGCUCGGACGACGUCGUAGGGGCAGCCAGAGGGCGGCAGGAGGAGGCUUUUGCAGAGGGUCGUGGAAGCUCGAGCUGCAGGCGAGUCGGGGCGCAGCGGUGGUGGCGCAGCGGCAGAUGAUGCGGCGGAGGGGAAAGACUCCCAGAUCUAAUCAAGCGUGAUCAGAUCUGGGCCUUUGGCGGAUCUCCAACGCGACGGGGCGGACUGGUGCUAGCUGCAGGAGCGGCCGAGACCGGCGAAGGGCGCGGAAACAACGACAGCGAGGCGGAGCUUCAAACGGUUGCAAGGCGGCAGCGGUGCGGCGACUAGUUCAGAUCUGCUAGCGUCGGGGGGCGCUAGCGCGGCGUCAAGUGGGCAGAGGCAGGGACGCUGGAGGUGAGCUACUGCAGGAGUCGCUCAGAGGUGCUGCAACGGCAGGUAGCGGAGCGGCGAGCACUGGACGAAGGUGGCGCGAGGUCGACGGGCGGCGCUCGGGCGGAGAGGGCAUCGAGCGCCUGGUGGAGGUGGCGCGAGCGUCAGGUCGUCGCAGCUGCAGCAGGGGGUCACGGACGCGCGGGCUGCAGGCGAGUCGAGGCGCGGCGGUGGUGGCACUGUGCUCGCGGACAAGCGGCUCCACCGCGCCGCGGCCGACGCAGCGAAGGCUUCCCGCGGCCGCGGGGCGGAGCCGCUGAGGCUCCUCUUUUCAUUGCUCCCUCUCUCUCUGUUUUGAACUCACUCUCCCUCUCUCCUCCUCCUGUCCCCCCUUUUUUUUGUUUCUCUCCCUCUGUCUUCACUUUCUCUCAUGUUUCUCUUCUGUUUUGCAGGUCCGCGUGCGAAGGAGGAAGACAGCCAGGCGUGGGCUGGAGGGGAAAGGAAGCAAGGCCGAGCCUAGGCCAGAUCAGGCCCAACUCGACCCCUUAAGCAUUUUUUGUUUUUUUUGGUUUUUUUAUGACAAUUUUUUUAUUUUUUUUAGCAAUUAAUUCCUAGUUUUGUAUGCGAUUAAGUUUUAAGUAAAAUAGUAAAAUUUAGGUGUCAACAGGUCCAAACAACAUUGAUUUUAGGUUGAGUCAGAAUUAAUCAACAACAAGGCAAAAAAAAAGUUACAAGGCCAAUCUCAAACUAUGUUGGAAUUUAAUCAACAACACAAAUUAAGGAUAGUAAGAUGUGGAGUUGGAAUUUAAUCAACAACACAAACUAAGGAUAGUAAGAUGUGGAAUUGGAAUUUAAUCAAUGACAAUAUACGAGGAUAGUAAGAUACAAUACUGGAAUUUAAUCAACGACGAUGUACCAAGAUACAGAAACACGUCGGAAUCUAAUUAACAAUGAGAAUCUAAAAGCUAUAGCUAGGAAAAAUAAAGUGUAGUACAGGAAAAGCAAAGAUAAAAAGAUAACAUUUUGAUUGAUUUAUCAUAUGACUUCUGGUUGGAUGACUGGUGGUAUGAUAAACGUUUGGUAGUUACGUCUUCUCUAGUGCCUACUACUGGCUUUGUCCAUGAUCCUUUAUUCUCAUAGAUCACUUUGCCCAUACUUCAUAUAACUGUCCUAGUCGUGUUUUGAGGAUUAUGCAACUGUCGAUGCCAUUCCAUGACUGGGGCUCCAAAUAGCAAUUGAUUUUUUACAACGUGCGCCUUUGAUGCUAACUACCUUAGUGCCUUGAGUAAUAUUCAAAGUGUCUCCAUUGAAAAAGUUGUUGCUAAAGUUCAUACGAGCGGCUAUUAAUCAUCCGUCAUCAUAUUUCAACAAUUGAGCACGUGGCAUUUCUUUAUCUCAUUGUCAAUCAUCGGAUAUCUACCCUAUGUCUAUUGAUAAUCUGGCAUACAUCAGACAUUACCCAUCCAUUAUGCACAUAACUGUAACUUAUUUCUGAAGAGCUACAGCCGAGGUAAAUCUCAACUUUAAUAUCAGCUAUAUAGUUCACAAUUUCACGAAAGAUCCUAUAUUUAUGAGAGGACAUGUAACAUUUCAAUUAAGAUAAAUAUUUGUCACAUGUAUUUCCUUGUUUAUAUAAGGGACCCAAUUUGUCAUGCGAUUGAUAAAUCUCUUCGUUUGUAGCUAUACUUUUAUCUUUUAACAAUCUUAGCCCAUGGAUCAUCUUUUAACAAUCUUAAGUAAGAGUUUUCCUAAUGUGGACAACAUUAAUUGAUAUUGUAAUUUACCGUUUUACGAUUACCGUUUUACGGGAUUGGUCUAAGGUGAGAUAGAAGGUUUCUUAAUUAGUCUAAUAUGGGGUUAGCUAGUGUGGGCCGAGUUGAGCCUGGCUCGUAAUAAAAGGGCCUGGUUAGAAACUCUAUAAAUAGUGCUCAAGCCUCUCCUCUAACCCUAAUUCUUACAAGUAUCCUCACAUAAGGAGCGUUUACCUAGCGCUAAAGGGUGAGGGGUUAUCUCAUUGAACCAGUGAUAUGGAGAGCAAUAGAGGAGAAUGACUUGCACGUUGAUCAUCGCUUUUCCGUUUCCGCAGCAAGAACAAUGGAUUCCAAUACAGGUGCGUUAAUCUUUCUACCUAUUCAUCUAUACUCUUGUUCUAAUUAUGGACAUCUUGGGGUAGCACGUUUUGCAUCUUACAUAUGGUAUCAGAGCCGCCAUAACCCUAGAACUCGAACGCAUAAAAUUUUUACCCUAACCGGUCAACUGUUGAUCGGACCGAACAGUCAAGCCAGGAACCGGUCGGACUGCUUCCGGUCGGAUAGGUUUUUGAUCAGUCUUUUCACCCGCACGUGAGCUCUACGCACCGCGCACUCAGGCGGCGCGUGUGGGAGCGUGGGAGCUUCGAUAGGCGCGUGGCUGGUGGCAUCAAAUUCGUAUCGCCAUUCUCUAUCUUGUGGUGUGUUUAUUUUACAUGUUUGAUGAUUUUAUGGAUGUGAAAAUACAUACGAAACCCUAAAUACAUAUAUUUUUAGUGCAUUUGUACGUAUUUUUCUUGUAUUUUUCUGUGAUUUUGGAAAUACAGGUGUUGGGUUACAGGUAUGUUAUCACAUAAACAUUAUAAAAGUGUGAUUCAUUAAUAAAAGUUAAACUUUAUUGUGAACUGAAACUGACUUAAUGAGAUACGACCAUUAUGAGAUAGUAAUUGAACUAUGUAUUGAGAUGAUGAGAAACAGUAAAAGGCUAUGAAAAUUUUGUCGCUCAAGUAUACUCUUUUACACGCAUCUUGAUGUAUUUUUGUUUCUUUUUUAUAACCUUUGAACGAUGGACGUCUUAAGAACUCGUGACCAAACUAAUUAUACUACUUAACACAUCUGAUAAAUGUGAGUAAUGCAUGUCAGUUAAAUUAUCGGAUACUGUACCUAAACUCAUCUGGUCACUUGUUGAUGUCUAUCAAGUUGAACAUUUUUUAUAAUUAAGAAGUAUGACAACAUUUACGUAAGAGCAAUAGUAUCUACUGUUAUAGUUUAGAUAUUUGAUUCUACGGUUUGACUCAAUUAAUAGGCCACUAAUUGAUACAAUGAUAAUUUGUUACUUAAAAGUGGCUAAUAAAUUAGCUGUCAGGCUUGUCAAUCUGGGAUACCCUGUAUUGUUAUUGAUAUUAACUUGUGAGAGAUCCCUUGGAUCAACAUUCUUCUUUAUGUUGUUCUGGUAAUCUAUAAUAUGGGUGCACAAGAGACGCUUUCUUCUAUGUUAUGAGAAGUUUCUUGCGUUGCUAUGAUCGGUGAUCUUAUUGGAAUCUAUCUUUUAGGUCCUUUAUAUAUAUAUAUAUAUAUAUGAUUGAUUUUCCUAGAUGAAUAAAGUAGUGUAAUCAGCAUGAUAUGUGAUUUUGGUGAUUUACUGCCCCUAUCAUUAAAGUUAAAAUCACAUGUAUAUGAUAUAUGUGAGAAGCAAAGUUUAUAUCCCUAGUAUGAGAAAGUUUCAAGAAUUCAAUUGAGUAGUGACCGCCAAAGUGGUACACUUGAUUGGGUUUGAGAAAUAUCGGUCUCAUAUAAUGAUGGGGAUGUCUCAAGUUAUAAUGCGUAGUCAUACUUUCAAAGGAGGUGAUUGUGUAUUAGUUCAUGGAGGGAUACAUGAUGAUGUGGUGGAUAAGUGACUGAUCCUAGUGGUUCAUAUGCCCAAAGGUGAUGAAUUCACGAAAGUUAAAAUAUAUUCUCAUAACCGCUAUCAUGUAGGGAGUGUACAACUACAUGUCAUAUAUUCUGCCCAAAAGUAAUUAUAUGAUUUUGCAUGUAAUUCUCUGGAUGUGUACUUAUACGUCAAGUUACAUAGUGCUCACAUGAUGGUAAAUAUAUACAUUACUUGUUUUUUCAGUCGCCUUUUCUGUAAUUAAUAACUCUAUUAUUAUUGAGGUUUUUACUUGUUCAAAUUUUAAGUAGUUGAAAUAGAAUUUUCUAUUUGGUGAAAGAGUAAUCGGAUUUGCUCGUUAUUUAUGAAGCGUUUCAUUUAGGAACAUUUGAAAAGUGAUUUACCAACUGACUGCACUUCUUAAAGAUGAUAGAAGCUUUAGUGGCUUGAAAUUAUGUCUUGUCUAAUAUCGAAAUUAGGACACAUCUGCAAGGAUUUUUUAACAUAAUGAUAUAUGUGUCUCGUAUACGGUUGAAAAUGUUGUUUCCAAAAGUUUUCUGUCUUAAAGAAUCAUCUCACACAUGUCUAAAGAAAAAGUAGAAAAGUUGACAAUGUUGAUAUUCUGUCUACUAUUAACGGUUUUUUAAAGACUUCUAAAGAUUAUUGUGGAAAUAAAAUGACCGAGAUAAAAAAUAAAACAGUUAGAAUUAGUCUUAAAAGUUGUCAGGCCUAAUAGUGGCGGUAAGUAUUUUGGCAAGUAUGGCAAUACUGAAUAGCUUAAACGGACAUUUGUCAAAUACUAGGUAAAUUCUAGGGUGGUAACUUAAUUUACUAUGCCUGAAAAUCCUGACAAAAUGAUUUGGCUGAAAGGCAUAACUACACCAUAAUCAACAUGGUGAUGAGUAUGAUGAGUAAGACUAAUUUUUCAGGUCUUCUGUGGGUUGAUAUUUUGAAAGCAACUCUUUUCAUAUACAAAAACGUGUUUCUUAUCAAAGUUAUUCCCUAAACUUCUUUUGAGUUAUGGAUUGGACGUAAAUUUACUUGAAUAAUAGUAAAAUUUAGAGGUGUCACGCAGAAGUGAGGUUAUAUAAUCCAAUAUUAAGUGCGUUGGAAUUCAGAUCCACUUGAAAUUAUUUUAUAUCUUACCCAAAUUGUUCAAAGGGGUAUCGAUUUUAUAACAGUAAUGAAGGUACAAGUAUUAUAAAAUCACAGACAGUAAAGUUUCUAGAGUUCGACGUGAUUGUAAAGGAUAGUUACUCUCAGACUAUUAAGGAUAAUAGUACGAUGGAGAUCACUGUGCCUUUGUCUUUACCUAUACAGACAAUUGUGGAAUCUCCUAUACCAUAGACUAAACUUGUUGAGGUUCAAGGUACCAUUAUUGAUAUAGUUUACGUUGAAAUUUCUCAAACCUCUAAAUUGCAUAAUGAAGUGGUUGUAGCUUUACUCAGGAGAUUUGUUAAGGAAAAAUGAUCAGUUAUACCAUCAAACUACAUAAUCUAUCUGUGAGAACAUGACUUCAAAAUCUAUUGCAUGGUUAAUUUAGCCACUUAUAUAAUUAUUGUUUCUUGGCCUCAAUCAAGUAUAUGAUUAGAUGUCGUAAAAGACAAUAUGCAAUCUAUGAAAUUUUAUAGUGUUUGGAAACUUACUGACUUGCCUAAAGAUCACAAGUUCAUUAGUUGCAAAUAGGCGUACAAAACUAAAAGAAUUUCAAGGAAAGAUUGUGGAGUUUAAAGCUAAAUUGGUAGCUAAAGUUUUCAUCUGAAAGAGGGAUGGAUAGUUAAUAGUGAAAAAAUAAUUAUUUCUUUCUAGUAUUUUUAAAUAUUCUUUUAGAGUGAACAUGGCAUUAAUAGUUUAUUUUUGAUAUGGAGUUACGCCAAAUAGAUACUAUCUUUUCAAACGAACACUUUGUAUAGACUGAAAAGUCUUAUUCAUGGUUUAAAGCAAAUUUCCGGACAAUAUUAUUAAAGUUUCAUAAUGUUGUUAUUUUGUUCAGUUGGGAACAAAGUAAUUCAGUAUAUAUAUACUGCGAGGUCAGUGAGAGGAAAUUUAUUUUUCUCAUACUCUUUAUACAUGAUUUUUUUCUUACAAGUAGUGACCUUGAGGCAUGGCAUCUUUUGCCCUUUGCACUGAGGUCUGUAAGGGUUGUUCUCGCCAUAUAUGUCAGAUUUAUCUCGGAGGACAUUUGCUGAUCGUAUUUUGGAAAUAUUCAAUAUACAUUAUUGCAAGUCAGAAAUUGCUCAUGUCAUUAAGGGUGAUGGACCGAAUCUAUUAUAUUGUUCUUAUUUAGAUAUUGAGAAAAUCAUGGUGUACUUUGUGUUAGCGCACUUAAAAGUAUAAUGUAUGCUCAAAUUUGCACUAGACUAAAUAUCGUCUUUGCAACGGAACUUCUAGACAGAAAUCAGUCAAAUCCAAGACGCGAUCACUGGGUUGCUGCCAAGAAGGUUUUAAGGUACUUAAAGAGGACAAAAGAUUAAAUGAUAAUUUAUAGACAUGUUCAAUUCUUGCAACUAAUAAGGUAUUUAGAUGUAAACUUUGUUGGCUGUUAUGAUGAUAUGAGAUUAAUAACGGAAUAUAUAUUUGUAUUAAUAGGAAGUGCAAUAAAUAAAGUUCUAUGCCAUCUUCUACUAUGUAAGCAAAGUUAGUAACAUUCUUUUAAGCUGUUAUUUGGGCUAUUAGGCUCUGGAACCUCAUUAAGGAAUUGACUAUUUUUAACUUUAUGAAUAAACCCAUAUAAUUGUAUUGAGACAAUAACUUUGUAGUAUUAUUUAUUAGUAACAAAGGUCUCAAGGGGUCUAAAUAUAUGACAGUUAAUUUUUUUACCAUAAAGAAACAGUACAAAAAUGUGAUGUUAUAAUAUAACAUAUUUCCACAGAUGACGUGGUUGCAGAUCCACUAACUAAAGGACUUUAUUCUUCUGUUCUUGAAUGACAUAUCAUUAAUAUGAGCUUAAGAGCAUCAUCAUAUGCUGUUAUUUAGUAGGAGUUAUUUUGGCUUUACUCUAAUAAAGUUUACUUCAGUAUUCGUUAUACUUAGUAACGGUUUGAUAUGUAUCAACUUUUGCAUUCAAUAAAAUAUUUUUGAAUAUGUUGUCAUUAUGUUGAAUACAUAUUGAUAAAAGCCUCAAGGUAUUGUAUAAACCUUAAGUGAAGGCUGGGGGCAUCCGGUUAUUAGCUUUGUACAUAUGUCUUGUUAUACAUAAAGAAAUAUUAACCGUAAAGACAAGGCAUAUGUGGGUUCAUUGGAACCAUAAAGAUAAUCUCUAGUGGCACAAGUUUUUUGUGACGUUUAAGAUAAGAGAAUGGCGACUGAAAAAUGGGAUCUCUUUAUGAGAGAUGUUAUCCAUUUGCCACAUUACCAUAUUGAAUCCAUAUCAAUAAAAUUGAAAGCACUCAUGAUCAUGAAAGGCUCUAUGUAUGUACAUGCAGUUACCACCAUAAUUCGAUGUUUGAGACUUUAUGGGAUGGGAUUGACUAUUAAGAAUUAUUUUUAGACCAAGGUGCGCACAUACGGUACAAUUUCAAUUAAUAUAGUCCAAGUGAGAGAAUGUAAGAGUUUUCCUAAUGUGGACUACAUUAAUUGAUAUCGUAAUUUGCCGUUUUACGGGGUUGGUCUAAGGUAAGAUAGAAUGUUUCUUAAUUAGUCUCAUAUGGGGCAGGCUAGUGUGGGCCGAGUUAAACCUGGCCCGUAAUGAGAAGGCCUAGUUGGAAACUCUAUAAAUAGUACUCAAGUCUCUCCUUUAACCCUAAUUCUCACAAGUAUCCUCACAUAAUGAGCGUUUACCUAGCGCUAAAGGGUGAGGGGCCGUCUAAUUGAGCCAGUGAUACGGAGGGUAAUAGAGAAGAAUGACUUGCACGUGGAUCAUCGCUUUUCUGCUUCCGCAUCAAGAACGAUGGAUUCCAAAACAAGUGCGUUAAUCUUUCUACCUAUUCAUCUAUGCUCUUAUUCUGGUUAUGGAGAUCUUGGGGUUGCACGUUUUGCAUCCUACAUCUUAGCCCAUGGACCUGCAUCACUGAAUGGACACUUCUAAUGUAUUCGAUUCUUGGAUGAGCAUUUUUCUGGCUCGGCAGUGAUCGACCCAUGUGGCCACGAUGAAUAGUGGAAGCAAAAUUGACAUUGGUGAACAAAGCUUAACAGAGAAGAUGUCGAGUCCAAUUGAAGAAAUCGCACAGGACAGGGGUGGGACCGUGCAUCGAUAAAUCCAGGUUCUUUCUACGUAUUCUGUCGUUGGAAUGCAAGAGAGAUUAUUGAGAAAGUGUAUAAAUGAAGUCUCUAUUAUCUUUUACGAGCUAAGGGCAUAAGCAUAGAGGCUCAGUUAUCUAAAGGUUCUUGAACACUCUACAAGCCUCAUAAAUAGUUUGAGCCCUAGUUUUAUAAUUGUUGGCAGGUUUGGAUAAAGGUUCUAAGGCUUUGAUUGAGAAGUCAUGGGAAAUCAGGUGGAUAGGUUAUUUGCAUAUGGACAGUUCUAGUAAAAUUGUUGACUCUGGAGAAAUCAGCUUAAGGUUCUUCAUGGGAUCCAAGUACCACAUAGAUAGAUAUAUGCUAUUAGAUGGUUAUUUUUUUUCCACCAAAAAACAUCAUAUGAUAGAAAGUACGGGUUAUACCUAUUCCCUAAUGUAGUUUCAUUUUGUAAAUGAACCAAUUAGUCCUUUCCUCUCCUAAUCCCUGGAAAGUACGCGCACAACCUAGGGAUUUCAUUUAUCUCUUGUGGAAGUGAUUAUGAUUAGGUUUACUCAUAAUGGCGUCUAAUGACUUUAACCCUAAUUCAGGAUUAGCUAGCCAAUUACAGAGUGUCUCUACUGGAGUACAUGCACAUAUAUGGAAAAUCAAAGUUUCACAUCUUAAAAAUUUAUCAGAUCACUGUACAACUUGAUUAAUUAACCGAUAGCUGUCCAAUAUGAGAUACAGAUCGAUGCCCUUUUGUUGUUUAAUCGCAUUAAUACAAAAGACUUGUCCUUUUGCGAAAUUGGCAUUUUGCAUUAAGCCAUUUGUUUUGCAUUACCAAGACUUACCAUGUCUGAAGCAUAGAUAACUGCUUUUCUUUAAAUGCGUUUUUAUCAGUUAGAUUAAUGUGACUUACUACCUAAAUAGUUUUUGUUUGUAGCUAAUUCCAAAGUGUUUGUUCUUAUAAUCUUCCAGCCUUUCAUCAGUCUCAUGGGCUUUUUUUCCCAUCACCCUACUUUGUUUUGUGCUAAAACGCAAGACUGACGGCAAGUGUAUCUCCAAUCGAUAGAAUCUUUUAGGAGGAAAUUCUAUCCAAAUCGAACUUUUAUUUACACUAUCCCUUCAAAAUUUUAAACAUAUGUGUUUCUUGUGGGAGAUAUCCAUAAUCGUAACUUACCCAUCAGAAGAUUGAGUAGGAGGAAAUCAUGACUUUUUUUUUUUUUAUAACAAAAGAAGGCAGAGAAUAUUCGAUAUGAUACUUAUUAAUUGCAAAUUAUAUUAAAAAAAACUAAUUAAGUUUUAUUUCUUCCGCUUGGUAGAGAACAUUUGAUAUGAAACUCUAAUUAACUGCAGAUUGCAAAACUAGUGAUUAAAGGCGCGAAUGAUAAACAUUCUAACUAGAAAUUGAUUUCUGGAAGAGAAAUAGAUUUUUUUAUUUCUAUUUCUAAAUGAGUUUCGAAGCAAAAAUACCCGUUUGAUAACGACACAAAAUUUCUACUCUAAAAAUAGAAAUUCGUUUGAUAACGACAUAAAAUUUCUUCCUUUCACCGACCAACGCUGCCGCCAUCUGCCGUCCGCCAGUCCGCAAUGAAGACCGGUUCAUAGUAAGGACGAAUGGUUCAUAGUAAGGAUGAACGAUGAGAAUAAUUUUUAUUUCUCAUUUCUGUUCCAGAAAUAGAAAAGUAAAAAAAAUUUACUUCUGAUUUCUAUUCCAAACCUAUUUCUAAAACAAAAAUCUAUUUCACAAAUAGAAAAAUAGAAUAAUUUUAUCAAACGGAUUUCUAUUAUAGAAACAAGUCUGGAAUAGAAAAAUUAUUCUGGAAUAGAAAUUGUAGUUUGUCAUGCACCCCUAAGAGUCCCAACUUGAUAGUUUGUGUUAUAACGUCUGACAAAAAUGUUAUGAAACUAAUAGGGGUGGACACACAUUGCAAUAGGAACACCCCCACCUCCGUCCUAGCCUAACUAGCCCUCAUUAUCGUCGAAUUUGUCAAUUGACGAAUGGAGCAGAUUGGAGCCCGUCGAUUGAUCCAAUUAUAUGAUUGAGAAAUCUCUAUGUUUAUAGCUAUACUUUUACCUUUUACCGAUUUUCUACAAAAAUUUUGUUACGUGUGGAAUAAUGAACGGUCCAUAAUUAUUUGAAAUUGCCGCGGAAACGGACGGCAACUUUUUAGCAUCACCUUACUGCGAAGACUUUGUUGUGGGCUACGACUAGCGCAGCCCUUGGGCCUGCAUCGCUUGUGAAUGGCACUCACGACGUACUCGUUUCUUGGAUAAGCAUUUAUCUGGCUCGGUAGUGAUCGACCCAUGUGUCCUGGAUGAAUAGUAGUAGCAAAAUUGACGUCGGCGAAGAGGGGUCAACAGAGAAGAUGUCCAGUCCAAUUAAAGAUAUCAAACACAUCCGGGGUGGACCCGCCUUUAUCCAUGCGUUCCCAAACUUUAUGGACUGUGCAUCGAUAAAUACAGUGUCUUUAGAUGUAUACUGUCGUUGGGAUGCAAGAGAGAUCAUCGAGAACGCAUGGGGACCAAGUUCCUAUAUUUACGAGCUGACGGCAUGAGAGCAGAGGCUUGGUUACCUGGAAGCCUAUAGAAAACCCUGCAAGCGUCAUGGAUAGUCCAAGUGGUCUGCGCAGGUGGUUCUGACUAGAGCAGCUUGUACACGGUUAUUGGAAUUCAAACAAAUGAACUCCAAUUUCUGACUUACCAAUCUCUAGAUUUGCAAUAGGCAAAUUGUUUCCCAUUUUAUCCAGUUCACUGGGUCAAGUUACAAAGAUAAUCUAAUUCGUUUGGAUAAAAUUUCUUAGGCUUUGAUUGAGAAGUCACGUUGAAUAAGGUGGAUAGGCUAUUUGCAUGGGAACCAAGAACCACAUAGAGAGAUAUAUCCUAUCAUAUGGUUAAUUAUUUCCACCAAAACAUCAUAUGAUACAUGAUAGAAAAUGUGGAUUAUGCAUAUUCUCUAAUGUAGUUUCAUUUUGCAAAUGAACCAAUUAGUCCUUUCCUUUCCUAAUCCCUGGAAAGUAAGCACUCUUCCUGGAGAUUUUCAUUUAUCUCUUGUAGAAGUGAUUAUAAUUAGGUUACUGAUAAUGGCAUCUUAUCACAAUGACUUUAACCCUAAUUCAUGACUAGUUAGCCAGUGACAGUUUAUCUAUUGGAGAGCAUGCACAGAUAUGGAGGCAGCGGGGAGAAUCUCAUCUGCACGUGAAAUCACAGCUUCCCAUCUUGAACAUUCAUCAGAUUACUGCACAUUUUGAUUAAUUAACCAGGGCCGGUCCAAUCUGAGAUAUAGAUGGAUGCUCUUUUCUUGCUUAAUCACAUUAUUAGGGAAGAGUUGUCCUUUACGAUAUCGGCAUAUUGCAUUAUUCCAUUUGUUUUUCAUAACCUAAGACAUGUCCUAUCGGAGGCAUAUAUGGAUGCUUGUCUUUAAUCAAGUCUUUUUCAAGUAGAUUGAUAUAAUUUACUACCUAAGUAGUUCUUGUUUCUAGCUAAUUCUCAAGUGUUCUUUUUUUUUUUUUUUUGCCUAUUCUAUUUCAUCCUUUCACCAAUUACGCGGGCUUUCCCAUCACCUUCUUUUAUUUUGUGCUCAAACGCCUUACAGAUUCCACGUGAUGAUAGAAUGAUUAGAGUCCAACAAAAAUCUAAUGCCUCGCUCUUUAUUAGUUAGAACUUAGGAGUUCCCCCACAGACCAACUUAUUUUUUGAGCUUAGGAGUCCCUAGAAACCAACUUAUUUUUUAUAUUUUCCUUUAUAUCAUGCUUUUGAUUAGUAGGUCAUAGCUUAUGGACAUCAUUCACAUGUAUACUCAAUUCAAUUUCAAUAAGGACAAUAUCUGUAUAUGUAACUAACCAAUCAUAAGACUGAGCAAGAGGAAAUCAUGACCCUUUUUUAACAACAAAUAGAGUCAAGGGAUUGCGAUGAUAUACCUCACUCAAGCCUUAGGUUCAAAUCACCCCGUUUGUGCAAGUACAAGCCUAUGUAUCAACAGUAAUUACUCGAUUGGUGUUAUAGAUUUGUCUGAGAAUCAAACGGAAUACAAUACUUGUUAAUUGCAAGUUGAACUAGAAUAACUAUUAAGUUUUAUUUCUUUCGCUUGGCAGAGAACAUUCGAUAUGAAACUCUAAUUAACUACAAAUUGAACUGACACAAGUUUUGUUUCUUUCGCUUCAUCCAUUUGUCCUAGAGAAUCUCUCUCUCUCUCUCUCUCUCUCUCUCUCUCUCUCUCUCUCUCUCUCUCUCUCUACCAUCAGUCCUAUAAAUUUCAUGCUCAAUCAAGCGAACCCUCCAACAACAUCAGCAUUCCCUCUCUCUAAAGAAAUGAGCGAGAUCGGUUUUAUCAAAAUGUCUCUCUUCUCCCUCUUCCUCGUCCUGCUGUUGCCACUCCAUGUUAGUUUUCUCAAGCUCUCUUCCCUCCCCUUCCACACACCAUAAUCACUGCUCAUCCUAUUUACGAACUUCGCAUGCAUUAACACUCAUAGUUUGUUGACCUUGUUUAUGUUCCUAUAUAUGUUAAAAGAGACAUGCGAAACAAAAAUCACGAAGUGAAAGACAUAUAUAAUGCCAUAAUAUAUAGGAGGUUUAUGUGUUCGCUUGUUUUUAUAACGUAGUGUAAGUCUCCAUUACUUAUGCUAAGCCAGAUAUGAUGUAUUGACAAAGAAAAAAAUGACUAUUAUCAUUCAGAUUGUGGACAUAAGUUGAAGGAUUUGUUAGGAAUAUUUAUCAUGCUAUCUAUUCUAUUCUUAAAAGUUGAUUUCAUUCUUGUUAUCUCACGGGCAUAACUUCUUGCUACUUUGCUUACGACCAUUUGCACGUUCAUUGCAGUUUCAUCCAUAUCCCAUGUAUAUGCUGCAUAAAUAUUUCACGAAGUCUGUUUGGCAUCGUAUUGCGAUUGUGGUGUAGCCUUGUUUGUCUUAUGACUGAGUUGUAAAUUGAAUUUUAGGGUUCGAUAUCUUUUAAACUAGGUGAACUAUCCUAGGUCGGUUGCAUCGUGCUAACUUUCUAGUCACUCAUUGAUUUUCUCUUUCGUCUCGCUAUAGGUUGUUUCCACCACCGCGAGAACCGCCGCCAAUGCCAACUCCCUUGCCGGCGAUGCCAACUCAAUCCCUCCCAAAGAAUAUUUUGUCCGUUACUGGACUGAACAAAUCACUAGCAACCCUGCCAUACCACCACUGCUCACAUCCAAAGUUUCACCCUUAACUGCUGCACAAACAACCCUUUUUGCCCAGCUCGUGGCUAAAGGUGCCAUCUCCGAUCACCUCUCAUCUUUCUGCAGGGCAGCACAACUGCUCUGCUUCCCAGCCUCACCACACUAUCCAGUUGGCUACACUGUCGAAAAUAGUGCCACGACGCGGGCAGGUGGCAUGAACGUGAACAGGGGCGUGGAGCCUAAUACUUCCGGGAAUCGAUGCUGAGGAGUGGGAAUGUGAUCCGGAUGCCGGAUCUUCGUGUCAAAUCUCCCAAAAGGUCGUUUUUGCCUCGCAGCAUUUCCUCCGGAUUACCGUUCUCCAUCUCGAAACUCGCCGAGCUGAAGCAAAUCUUCCAUGCUGGGGACGAUUCCAAUAUGGAGAAGAUCAUGAUGCGCACACUCAGCCAGUGCGAGCAAGCGCCAAUCCAAGGUGAGACCAAGCGAUGUGUAAGCUCUGUCGAGGGGAUGAUCGACUUCGCCACCACAAUACUAGGCCACGACAUCCAGCUUCACUCCACGGAGAGCGUCGAAGGGUCGAAGCGUGAGAUCUUAAGACUUCGGAUUAGAUUUUUAAUCAUUUUGAUUUCUUUGUCGUGAUAAUUAGAGUUAAGAUAAUCGUUAAUUUGACCUGUGAGACAACAAGUUAUUUUUUCGAUUAUCUACUCCUUUAUUUUGUUGAUAGCUUAGAUUUAAUAUUUAUUGAAUAAUUACUUAUCUUUUAAGAAAAAAAGCUACAAAAUCAAAAAAAAUUAAAAAAAAAUCAAAAUUAUGCAUGAGCAUAUAGGUUUGGUAACUCAGACAUUUAGGUUUAGUAAAUUAGAAUUUUCUUAGGAUUACAUUUUUAGGAUUGCAUUUUUAGAAAUAAGUUAGAGUUAAACCUAAUUAAUUUUUUAGGGUUUUAGAUAAUGUUCGCACAUUUAAUUACCUCAUUUUUCAAAAAAAAAUAGUUUUCUAAGAUAGGAUAGGGUUUAAGUCAAAUUAAUCCCUAGAAUAAAUUAGAAAAUUAUCCCUUUUUAGAUAGAUUAAUUAGGGUCUUCAUAAAUUCUAAACUUCAAUAAAAAAAAAUGCAAAAAUACUAGGUGCAUGUUAACUAGUUUGCAUAAUAGAAUCAUUUAAUCAGAAUUUAUUCAUUAGUGAAAUUAGGUCAUGAGGUGCAUGUUAAUUAGUUUGCAUAAUAGGCCCAUUUAAUUAGACUUUGCAUAUUAAUAAGAUGACUAAAAAAUGCAUUUUCAUAAAAGAAUUCUGAUUAAAAAAGAAAUAAAAAAAAAUUGUUUACUUCGUGUGAUGCAAUUUAUUUAUUGAAUGUUUGAGCAUCCGUGUGGUCACUUUUUGAAUGAUAGUAGUUUAGGUUAAAAUAAAUUAGCUACCUGCCAAAAAAAAUAAACAUUUUUGAAAAUUAAAAAGAAAUGGUACCGAAAGGGCAUUAGAGAGAUCUAGUGUAACCAAAUCCCCGUACCUUUAGUCUCUGGUUCGUAGAAGUAAAAUAAUUCUCCCAUUAUUUUACUUAGGUGUCUAAUCGACCUACCAUAAAUCGAUCAGUGGCGACUCCUAGAUAAUAAUCAUUUGCAUGUUAAAUAUUUGAAUAUCAAGUCGUGAAUUGGUAUGGGCUUGGGAGAGCUUGAGCUAAAUUUAAAGACUUAGUAGUCCAUUAACCUAGUUUUAGGUGGUGCACCCGAAAAAUAGGUCGCGACAGUCGUCCACUGACAAAGGCGGUUUGUUCCAUAGAAAUCAGCUUAGGUAACCAAGGUUUUAGGCGAUUGGCAAUUACCUUCGAAAUGACUUUAUAUGUAAAGUUACAGAGACUGAUUGGUUUGUAUUGCUCCAUUCUCUUUGGAUGAGAAGUCUUGGGAAUCAAAGCUAUAAUAGUGCGGUUCAAAUUGGCCAACAUCCGUCCUGUCUGAAAAAAAUUUUGAACUAGAAGAACAAGAUCGUCUUUUAUAACCUCCCAAUGUGUUUGAUAAGAUAUUCCAUUGAAACCAUCAGGGCCUGGUGCCUUAGUAGAUCUCAGCUGAAAGGUAGCCCGGCGAAUCUCCUCUGAAGUAACCACUUCCAGCAAUUGGUUGUUCAUUUCAUUGGUAACCACCUGUGAGCAUUGUUGAAUUAUGGGACUAUACUCUCGAUGACCCACCAUUGUAUAUAAACCUGAAAAGAAAUUGCGUGCCAUAACCUGUAAAGUAUGAGGAUCUCGAAUCCAUUGUUGGCGAUCAUCUUGAAAAAAUCGGAUAACUUACCGAUAAAUUUAUCGAUAGAAAAUAAUGCAUAGAUUAUCGAUGAGAUCCUUCACUAGUAGACAAAUUGAAUGAGAUCGAUAAGCCAUCAACAACAAAUAAUUACCUCAAGUAGUUGCAAAUUUCCAGUGAAUUAUUGAGGCUGUGUAAUUCAUGACCAAAACAGAGGCUUGCCAGAAUACAUCAGUAGGCAAAUACGGUGGAUUCACACCAACACGUGAUCAUUAGGUGGUUAUGCCUAUAACCAUGGAAUUUAUGACUUCUUCUGGAUAAUCACUGUCAAAUGAUAGAGGAUAAUGUUUAUAGUCUCGUAAAGCAUAAUUGCUCACCAAUAAUUGUAAAGAGUGCUAGGAAAUUAAUCGUGGAUUCAAAUCAAUAACUGCUUGUAAAAACUGCCCCAUGGUAAGAGAUAAAGCCCCAUGUUAUACUCAUUGUAAAAAAAAUCAAUCAACACCUAAUUUUCUAUUCUUAUGCACAUUUAAUUUCUUCUUUAAUUUUCCAGGAAAUGUACCGUUUUAGUAUCUUCAUAUUUUCGUGCCUUUAAUGAUUCUCGCAACUUUUAAUUUCCGAUACUUGCACUGCAAUUUCUUUACUUCUAUAGUCAUUUAGGGUGCGAAUGGUAACGUUUCUGUUCUUUUUUUGUUCCAGGGAAUAGAAACAAAAAAAAGUGUUUCUGUUCCGGGGAACAAUUUUUGAACAAAAAAACGCGUUUGGUAACAUUUGGUCCGGGAAUAAAAAAUGAACAGAAACACGUUUGGUAAAUUUUAUUCUUUUUUUGUUUCUUUUAAUUUUUUAAACAUUUUUAUUUUAUUUUUCAUUUUUUCCUUUCUUUUUUAUUUUUUCUUUUUUCGGCCGGUCACCGGCCUCCGGCGACCGGCCAACGAGGCCGGCAGCCUCGCCCAGCCAUGGCGAGGCUCGCCGGCCCUCGGCGAGGCCGAGCCUCGCCGUGGUUGGGCGACGCUCAGCCUCGCCUUGGCUGGGCAAGCUCGAGCUCGCCCAGAUCCGGCGAGGCCGAGCCUCGCCGGGGGGCCAGCGACGCUCGGCCUCGCCGGAUCUGGGCGAGGCCGAGCCUCGACGGCCGGUCACCGGCCAUGGCCGAGGCCGGCGACCGGCGAAAGAAAAAAGAAGAAAAAAAAGAAGAAGAAAAGAAGAAAAGAAGAAGAAGAGAGAGAAGAAACGUUUCCUUCGUUUUUGUUUCUGGAGCAAGAAACAACAAAUUGUUGUUUCUUUUUUAUGUUCUUAUUUCGUUCCAGAAACAAAAAAACAAAAAAAGAACAGAAACGCAACCAAACGCGUUUCUGUUCUUUUUUUGUUCCCGGGAACAAAAUCCGUACAGAAGUGUUCCAGAAACGUUUCUUAGAAACGUUUCCAUGCACACCCUUACAUUCUUGUCUAGAACCAACAAAGAAUCUAUUUUCUUCAAUAUUCACCGAUCCGAUUCAUCUAUUGAUAUUUACACUUUUUGGUGAAACACUAGCCUCAUUGUUUGCACUAGUCAAUGUUUGGAGUUGAACUCAUGUCAAGCGUUCUAAUUAUUCCACAAACAUGUGUUACUUUUUAUAUCACUAAAGCAACUCUAAUGGAUUUUGAUGUUAUAACUUCCAAACGAAGAGUGUGUAAAGAGUGGAAAUUAGAGAAUCACAGUCUGCGUGCUCUAUAAUUUCUUUUCCAAAAAAAAAAAUCCGAUCAGUUAUUGCAAGAAAAGAAUUAUUGUGCGACAAUAGAUGCUCAAUUAUUCGAUGGACAUUAAAUCCUCAUACAUGUGUGAGUUGACAAUCAAUAAGGAAAGGUCUAUGGCACGCGUGAUGGUGAUGGAUUUGUAUCUCUCCAAACAUGUCCUAUUCUGUGCACUACAAUCCGACAUGUCUUGUCCCAUAAAGCUUAAUCCAUUAAAUUGUGAGCCACAGAAUUCACAAGCAUCUAUGGAUUUAUUGUCAUCGCUCUCAAAGAUCUCAUUUGCUAGUUGGAGCACUUCUCUCCAAAAAUGAGGAUAUAUUGAUGUGAAAUUGACACCCUAGAUAUCAGAAGUUAGUGCAUACAUAAACUUCAAUCGAUCCUUUUCUAUAUUUUUCUAAUAAUAGUAGGAUAGUAAUGUAAACAAUGCUAAGCCAGUGCCAUGCAUCCACUGUCAAAUGAAUGCACUUGUAAAAAUAACCUAAAUAUAUUUACCCUUCAUCUGCCACCGUUCGUUAUUAGCACUACCCUCCAUAAUACCGCCAUCGAUCUGGGCAUCUCUCUCUCUCUCUCUCUCUCUCUCUCUCUCUCUCUCUCUCUCUCUCUCUCUCUCUCUCUCUCUCUCUCUCUCUCUCUCUCUCUCUCUCUCUCUCUCUCUCUCUCUCUCUCUCUCUCUCUCUCUAGGUGGGCACAAGUUUUGUCUCAUGGUCAUCAAACUGGGAGGAGUAGUAUUUUUCUAAAGAAAAGUGCACCUAAAGUCUUAAAAUUUACUACGAAAAUACAUUUAAAUCCUAAAAUUUUCAAAAUUGUAAUCAGAUGUUAAAACUGAUUAAAAUAAUGUAAGUAAGUAAUACGUCCUCUAUUAUUUUUUUCCUAAAAAAAAAGAUCCAAUCAGUUGUUACAAGAAUAGAAUUUUUGCGAAGGUGAGUGACAGGAAAUUUUCUAUAAUUCAAUGGCCAUUAAUCCUCAUACAUGCGUGUCGAUGACAUGCUUGAUGGUAAUGGAUUUGUAUCUCUCCAAACAUGUCCCAUUAGGUGCAGUACAAUCCUACAUGCUUAUCUCAUAAUGCUUAAUCUUUUAAAUUGUGAGUCGCAUAAUUCAUAAGCAUCUCUAGAUUUAUCAUCAUCGCUCUAAAAUAUCUCAAUUUGCAAAUUGGAGCACUUCUCCCCAAAAACGAGAUGCUAAUGUGAAAAUGACACCCUAGACAUCUAGAAGUAAGUGCAUACAUAAACCUCAAUCGGUCCUUUUCUAAUAUUUUCUAGUUAACAAUAGUAUAAGUUAAAAUUAAACAAUGCUAAGAUAGGUGGCAUGCAUUCACAUGUCAAAUGAAUACACAUGUAAACUUAAUCUAGAGAUAUUUACUCUCCAUCAGCUUCGCCCACAACUAAAUUAGUUGCAUUGGUACUAGCCUCCAUAGCAUCACCAUCGACCCGGCAUCUUUCUUGCAGGCGUAACGUAGGCACAAGGUUUGUCUUGUCGUCAUUGAACUGAGAGGAGUAGUAUUUUUCUAAACAAAAGUACACUAAAAGUCUUAACAUUUAUCAUAAAAAUAUAAUUAAAUCCCAAAACUUUCAAAAUUGUAAUCAGAUGUUAAAACUGUUUAAAAUAAUGUAAUUAAGUCCUACGUGCUCUAUUAUUUUUUCCCAAAAAAAAAAAGAUCCAAUCAAUUAUUCAAUUAUUACAAGAAAAGAAUUUUUGUGAAGGUGAGUGACAAUAGAUUUUCAAUUAUUCAUUGGCCAUUAAUCCGCGUACAUGCGUAAGGUGACAAUCGACAAGGAAAGAUCUAUAACAUGCUUGAUGGUGAUGGAUUUGUAACUCUUGAAACAUGUCCUAUUAUGUGUAGUACAAUCCUACAUGCCUGUCCUAUAAUGCUUAAUCCUUUAAAUUGUGAGUUGCAUAAUUCAUAAGCAUCUUCAAAUUUAUCAUCACUGCUCUAAAAUAUGUUAAUUUACAAAUUGGAGCACUUCUUACCAAAAAUGAGGAUCUAAUGUGAAAUUGACACCCUAGAUAUCUAGAAGUGAGUGCACACAUAAACCUCAAUCGGUCCUUUUCUAAUAUUUUCUAGCUAACAAUAGUAUAAGUUAAAAUUAAACAAUGCUAAGAUAGGUUGCAUGCAUUCACAUGUCAAAUAAAUGCACAUGUAAACUUAAUCUAGAGAUAUUUACUCUCCAUCAGCUUUGCCCAUAGCUAAAUCAGUUGCACUAGAUCUAGCCUCCAAAGCACCGCCAUCGAUCCAACAUCUUUCUCGCUGGCGUAAUCACCUCUCUCUCUCUCUCUCUCUCUCUCUCUCUCUCUCUCUCUCUCUCUCUCUCUCUCUCUCUACGGAGGUAGGCACAAGCUUUGUCUUGUCGUCAUCAAACUGGAACGAGUAGUAUUUUUAUAAAGAAAAGUGCACUAAAAGGUUUAAAAUUUAUCGCAUCCUAAGACUUUCAAAAUUGUAAUCAAAUGCUAAAACUGGUCAAAAUAAUGUAAUUAAGUUCUACGUGCUCUAUUUUUUUUCCCAAAAAAAAAAGAAGAUCCAAUCAGUUACUGCAAGAAAAGAAUUUUUAUGAAGGUGAGUGACGGCAGAUUUUCAAUUAUUCAACGGACAUUAAUCCUUGUACGUGCGUAAGGUGAUAAUCGAUAAGGAUGACAAUCGAUUAGGAAAGGUCUAAGACACGCAUGAUGGUGAUGGUUUUGUAUCUCUCCAAACACGUCCUAUCUUGUGCAGAACAAUCCUAGAUACUCGACCCAUAAUGCUUAAUCCUUGAAAUUGUGAGCCACAUAAUUCAUAAGUAUCUCUAGAUUUAUAGUCAUUGCUCUAAAAUAUCUCAAUUUACCAAUUGGAGCACUUCUCGCUAAAAAUAAGGAUGCUGAUGUGAAACUGACACCCUAGAUAUCUAGAAGUGAGGGCCCACAUAAACCUCAAUCGGUCCUUUUCUACUAUUUUCUAGUUAACAAUAGGAUAAAUUAAAAUUAAACAAUGCUAAAACAGGUGGCGCGCAUUCACAUGUCAAAUAAUUGCACACGUAAAUUUAAUCUAGAAAAAUUUUCUCUCCAUUAGCUUGUCCCACAGCUACACCAAUUGCACUAGCAUUGGCCUCCAUAGCACUGCCAUUGAUUCGAGCAUUUUUCUCGCAAGCGUAAUCACCUCAAUCUGGGCACUGGCCUACACCAGUUCUAAAAUUUGUCGAAAAGUGCAAUCAGACCAUAAAAUUUUCAAAAAGUAUAAUAAGAUCUUAGAACUUGUCAAAUUUGUGUAAUCAAGUCCCUUUAUCAACUUUCUAUAAUUUCAUUAAUGAAAAAUGCCGACAUGAUUAUAUUAAUUACUUUUGUUAUGACCAAAGCAGAAACUACUACAAAUGAAACUAAGAAAAAUAAAAGAACACACAAAUUUACGUGAAAACUCUCAUGGGAAAAAACUACAGGGAGAGAAGAAGAAAAAUCUACUAUGGAAAUUUAAGGAUUAUCAAAGGUGGCUCGAUAAACCUUAAUAAUCUUUUUAUCACUCACUUUAAAUCUAAUAACUUGGGAAAAAAUAAUAUUUAUAUUGCUCCAUACGAGGGGGCGCAAUCCUUGCACCUUUGCCAAGGAUUAGUACUGAAGUACUGGCUUGGGCCUCGACCAACACUAAACCUGACUUUGUUUUUAUCAAGUCGGGUUGUCGCAAAUUUCAAUUUAAGUAUCAAAACUCAAUUUAGGUUGAAUGCCUGGGAACACAAUUCAAGAUAUUCUCAACAAUUUCUUGAGACACGUGGCAUCCACUAAGCACCACAUCAAAUAAUGAAACUUUUGGAAAAAAAAAAUUAAAGAAAGAAAGAGAGAGUAAAAGUAAAAUAAGAAAAAAGGGAAAAUGUUCUAACAAAAGGCUAAUAAUGAAAAGAAAGGGGAAAAAAUUAUUUUAAAAAAAAAAAAAAAAGCAAGACCUCAGCUUCUGGUUUCCAAAAGAAACAGUGGUUUCGAUUCUUGCGAGCGAAAGUUGAGAUUGAAGGGAAUGAAUCUCUUUUUAACCCCGCAGAUCGCCUACGGACACUUCUUGGAUCAGUUUUACAUAUGAAAGGCUCCACUAUUCUGCCAUGGCUGUGGUAGGAUUGGCCAUUGCCGCCACAGCUGUACCUUCAUCACAGAUGCUGCGUCGACGGAGAGGUGCUCUCGAAUUUGCGGGCUGAGUCCAGCCUUUUCUACAUCGACCCAGUUCAUUCGGUUCCAUUUCGCAAUUUUGAUAAGGAACACUAAAAAUUUGAAAAAGACUUCCUACGCUCGCGAACAUAGCAAUAAACCAAAAAAAAAAAAAAAAGUUCAGGAGGAAGAUGUAGAUGUCUACGCUAGGGUAACGACAUCAUCCCCCCUUUUUUUUCUGGUCUGAUUUCGCCUUCUAUCAAGGAGGAGCUUUGCAAUAGUUCUCAAUAAAAACCCCAUGUGGGAGGAAAAAGGUGAAGGAGAAGGGGAGUCAUCUUCAUGCAAGUGCAAGAUCUUGCCCCCUUUUUAAGUUUUUGUUCUCUCUUUCCCCCUAUCAUCCUUUUCUAUUCAUUUUUUUUUAAUUUUAAAAAUUUAUCUUUUCAAAUUUUCGAUUUUUUUUCUAAUGUGGCACUUGAUAGAUGCAUGUAUCUUAAUAAAAUAAUAAAAGAAGCGUUAGCCAAAUUGAAUUGAUUGGUUGAAAGACCUAAUUGUAUCAUUUUGACAAGUCUUAUAACUCAAUUACAUUUUUGCGUCAAUGAUCACGUAUAAUGCUCGUGACAAGGCAACCAAAAUUUCCCUUAAUUAGGUUUUCAUCUAUUAUUAGUCGGUGGCUCGACCCAUAAAAAUAUUCUAAAUUAGUAUGCGCAUAUCUACAUGCCCUCAAUGGGUUUACAGAGACACUAAGCAUAAUUAACUUUAAUCUCCAGAAAUCCACAAUUAAAAUCAAAACCCUUCUCACAAUUAAGGUUUAAUAACCAAAUCACAACAUUCGAUAAAUACACACACACACACACAUAUCAAAGCACCUCAAAAACCACAUUCAUAAAUGAUAAACUUUUCAUGAUUUUUUCAUAGAAGGUUUCGCAAACCAUUUACAAGCAAUUAAUUCAAACUGAAGUUAAAGGAUGACUCCCCAUUUUAAACAAACAAAACGGCAGUAAAUGUUCGAUCCUAUUUUAUGCAACAACAGAUGCAAUUUCUUAACUUAUAACAUAUAUAAUCCAUAUCGUUUUCAAAAUAUAAAAACACAAAAAAGAAAUAGUAUCACUUUGGGAAAGCGAAAAAUCAGCGGGAGUAAUCCCAGCACAUGACGCCAAAUACUUAUUUGUAAUUAUAAAGGGAAAACCAUUUGCAAGUUGAACUAGAAACACAGUGGUUUUGUUCCUUUCGCUUAAUCCGUUUUGUCCUUAUCGAGUCUCUGGUCCUAUAAAUUUCUGGCUCGAUCGACCAAACCCUUCGACAAUCAUCAGCAUUUCCGCUCCCUGAUUGAACAAAUACAUGCACAACAGUUUCAGCACGAUGGCUCUCACCUCCCUCCUCCUCCACCUCCUCCUCCUCCUCUCUUCUCUCCAUGUCAGUAAUUUGUCAAGCUUUCACUCUCCAUGCGUACCCAACUGCUCAUCUCUCUCUCUCUCUCUCUCUGUGUUCUCAUGCAAAGACAGGGCUAUAUGUUUAAUUCGAUAUCUCGCGCUUAAUUAGUAUAUACUUCUUACCUAAGAAUUGCUGAAAAAAUUUUGCGGCCAUUUACUCCAUUGGCAAUUACUUCUCAUCCAUUAUUUGUUAACCCAAUCUCUCUAUACUGGUUUAGAGUGCACAGGCUAUCGGAUCAAAUGGGGAGCCCAGGCUUCAUAAGAACUAUUCGAUUUAAUUUACGCAUGCAAGAAGCUAAACAUGUUAGUUUGUAUCAAAAUUAAACAUCAUAAUAUUAUAUAU